GAUGAACGCUGGCGGCGUGCCUAAUACAUGCAAGUAGAACGCUGAAGGAAGGAGCUUGCUCUUUCCGGAUGAGUUGCGAACGGGUGAGUAGCGCGUAGGUAACCUGCCUGGUAGCGGGGGAUAACUAUUGGAAACGAUAGCUAAUACCGCGUAACAUUAGAUGUUGCAUGAUAUCUACUUAAAAGGUGCAAUUGCACCACUACCAGAUGGACCUGCGUUGUAUUAGCUAGUUGGUUAGGUAACGGCUCACCAAGGCGACGAUUCAUAGCCGACCUGAGAGGGGGAACGGACAAACUGGGACUGAGACACGGCCCAGACUCCUACGGGAGGCAGCAGUAGGGAAUCUUCGGCAAUGGACGGAAGUCUGAACGAGCAACGCCGGGGGAGUGAAGAAGGGUUUCGGAUCGUAAAGAUCUGUUGUAAGAGAAGAACGAGUGUGAGAGUGGAAAGUGCACACUGUGACGGUAUCUUACCAGAAAGGGACGGCUAACUACGUG
rnacentral:rRNA from 1 species